GACGAACGCUGGCGGCGUGCUUAACACAUGCAAGUCGAGCGGUAAGGCCCUUUCGGGGGUACACGAGCGGCGAACGGGUGAGUAACACGUGGGUGACCUGCCCUCAGCUCUGGGAUAAGCCUGGGAAACUGGGUCUAAUACUGGAUAUGACUCCACGGUGCAUGUCGUGGGGUGGAAAGCCUUGUGCGGCUGAGGAUGGGCCCGCGGCCUAUCAGCUUGUUGGUGGGGUGAUGGCCUACCAAGGCGACGACGGGUAGCCGGCCUGAGAGGGCGACCGGCCACACUGGGACUGAGACACGGCCCAGACUCCUACGGGAGGCAGCAGUGGGGAAUAAUUGGACAAUGGGCGCAAGCCUGAUCCAGCGAUGCCGCGUGUGUGAAGAAGGCCUGCGGGUUGUAAAGCACUUUCAGUAGGGAAGAAAACCCGAAGUGCUAAUAUCACUCGGUCUU
rnacentral:rRNA from 1 species